rnacentral:rRNA from 1 species
UACGGAGGGUGCAAGCGUUGCUCGGAAUCACUGGGCGUAAAGGGCGUGUAGGCGGCCAGGUAGGUCUGCUGUGAAAACUCGAGGCUCAACCUCGAGACGUCGGCGGAAACCAUCUGGCUAGAGUCCGGAAGAGGAGAGUGGAAUUCCUGGUGUAGCGGUGAAAUGCGCAGAUAUCAGGAAGAACACCGGUGGCGAAAGCGCUCUGCUGGACCUUAACUGACACUGAGGGACGCAAGCUAGGGGAGCGAAUGGG